UUCUCCUCCGCAUACAAAUAUGCUGCAGUCUGGAUGUAAACUUGCGCUGUUCACUUGAGUAGGAACAAUAAACUCUCGGAUCUUGGUCAACCUGCAAUCAACAAAUCGAGUCAGGCCAUGGCUGUUCAAGCCAGGGACAUUGCUGAUCAGGAAGUAAAAUGGUCUUCAUUAUUUGAAAGUAAAAACUGUCCACUCUGGCACGGAACCAGACCUUGUACAUCCAUAAAUGGCUGGAUAUCUUUCAUGGCAAAUACCUCUGUUCCUGUUGCACUCGAUACAGCGCAAUGAAAGUUCAUGUUAGAAUUAUAAUUGAACUUGGAAUCCAAGUCGGGUGGAGAGGGGGUCAAUACUCACUCUUUGCUAUCCCAAAACGUGACGACGUUAGAAUGAGUUGUCGUAAUGAUGUUGCCAUCUCUGGAGACUUCCAUCGAGCUGGGUGUUGCUGGAAAAUCGAGUCUUUUCACUUCUUGCCCGCUGUUUCUGUCCCACAAACGCAGGCUUUUGUCAUCGGCACAGGUAACCAAAGCGGUA